UAUAUUUUUCAUUGAUUGUGUUUCUUACCUGUUCCCGCGCUAAGCUACCGUUUUUAUAGCAUAACAUUACCAUAUAAUGCUAAAGUCCAUGUUAGUUAGAAAACCAGAGAAAAUGAUGAGUUUUGAACAACUACUUCACCAAAAGAAAGUCAAGUUCAACUUACGUUCUGCGUAACAGGAUGAGCAAACAUGUGAUACUCUGGAGAACACACAUAGUUUUGAGUAGCCAUUAGAGCAGUAGUACUAGUACCCAAUGAUAAUAGUACAUCUUUUCCCGGUCUUAAAGGAAGGGAUAAAAUAGUGGCAGGGUUAUCUCCAGUUAAAGGAAUGAUUUGACAGUUAGGAGAAAACCCAUACUUCUUAACGAAAUACUUCCCAAUUGGUCCUAGAUGUUUUGCCCCGUUAAUCUCAACCGUACCUAGUUUGUUAGCCAAGUCGGGUCCUUUAGAAUUACCAGCAACUUCUUCCAACAAGCGAAUAUCGAAUUUCUCAUUCUGAAUGUCCCAGAGAUUCAUUCCACAAACGUCACUGAUGUCUAAAGGUGCCUCGGUUUGCAGAAGUACCGAGGCUAGAAAAUUAGAGACAAGUGCAAUUCGUUCGGUAUUUUCGUAUGUCUCGGGGUGCAAACGACGAAAACGCUUGAUUUGGGGUCCAGUAAAGCGUAGGUGAGCUUUAGACCCAGUAAGGUCCGCUAGUGCUUUGGCUCCACCAAUGCAAGAUUCAAGCUCCUCGCAUUCUUUGGUAGUACUGGCAUCUUGCCAAUUUGGAGAUGUUGGAUGAAUGAGACUUUCCAAUUGUUGUUUUAAAGAAGAUUUGGCAUCCAACGAAUUGAGGGCUUUUUUACUUCCCUUAAGCAGGAAAACGCUUGCAUGUUGCUGACCGGCACCAGAUAUAGCUUGUAUUUUGCUAACAUCCACAGAAGCCUUAAGUCUCUCAAACAGUAAAUCGAUGGCGUCUAGCCACAUACAUACUGGAGCAAAAACCUCAUAUCCAUUCCUGUAGACCCCUUUGAUAGUGUUGUAAUCACUUAGAUCCCGAUCAAAAUCGACGGCAACCUCUUGAUGCACGUUCAAAGACUCAUCAAUGACCACGCCCUUGAGCUGCUGAGUUGAGAGAUCCAAACCUAAAAACAUAUUCACAAAAGUCAAAUCUUUAAAAUGACUGUCGAUAUAUUGUACUUAAGAAACGGAAAGAAUGAAUUUCGACAAAAUCAAAUUAACAGAAAAAUCUCGUUUUAGCGCCUUCCUUAAGCUGUAUUUUCCGCAGUUAUAUGUCUGAUCAAUAUAUAUAUCGUUAACCAUUGACAUCCAAAAGUUCUAGCCGUGACUUAUGUCCGUUUUUACUUACGAUUAUGUUCGUAAAAAUACCUUAGAUACAGUUUACCGAAACCUUUUCAAACGUUAGCUUAAAAAAACUCAGAGUGUUGUUGGGGUAAGGUACCUUGUUUACUCUAGAGAAAAACAACGCGUUGGAAACACGUUUGGCAAAAAACUCUUUGAAAAAAAGUGAUAUUCGUUUCAAAAUCGAAUAUCAAUAUAAAAAAAUGGCUGAAAAGUUUGAUACUGACAAGGAAUAAAGCUAAAAACUCUUGUUUCAGCAACAAUUGACUGAACUCUGGGAGAACACGAAAAGAAGGAGAAAUGAAGUCGUUUACUUAAAAAAUCGUUAAAAAGUUAUUACUUCAAUAAAUUUAAUAUUUUCUUGUUUGUUAAUUGUACUCAGAACUGAGCAAUGGUAUGUAAUAAAGCAAGAAAUAAUACAAAUCCUAUAUGGUUGUGGUUAGGCUUCGUUAUCACAAAGAUCCUGAAAUAUCAUUUUAAGAUAUGCGUAAUGUGCG